rnacentral:lncRNA from 1 species
CGGGCAAAGGAUACAAUAUUUCAGUUACAUAGAGGGAAUACGUUCAAGAGAUCUACUGUACAGCAUGAUGACUAGUUAAAAACAAUGUACUGAAUACUUGAAAAUAGCAAAGAGAGUGGAUUUUAAAUUUUCUUACCACAAAAAAAGUUUACUAUCAGUAUGCUAAUUAGCUUGAUUUAGCCAUUCUACAAUGCAUACAUAUUUCAAAACAUCAUAUUUUAUACCAUAAAUACAUACAAAUUUAUUUUCAACUAAAAAAACUAAAAUAGCAUAUGGGUUAACACAAAUUAUCAUUUAAGGCGCUAUUUAAUUGAAGCAGUUAUUUCAUCUAGGCUUGAGGCAUCACUGUAUUCUAAAAAUGAAUGGUUUCAAGUUCUAGAUCCACACACUGCUGGCUUAAAUAAAAGUCUACAUGGGGACCUUGAGUGUAACAGAAGAGCAGCAGACACAGAGGGCCUGAGGGUAAGAUACAGAUAGUGGGAGAGAAUAAGCAGGCUGGGCCAAGGAUUAGCUUUUAUCCGUGACCUCCAAUUACAACUGAUUAUCUGCGUUGUGACCACAGAAGAAUGAAAAUUAUUUGCAGUUAGAAUCAGGAUCCAUGAAGUUACACUUUAUGUUCAUAUUUCUGAGUAUAACAUUAAAUAUAUUUAUUGCUCUUUUCUCCUACAAAAGGGGAAGUGACCCCCUUUUUAAGGACCUGCUUAAAAACAUACAAAAAUCCUGGGCAACUUUCUUGGUGUAGGAAUUGCUUUAUAGUAGUCGAACAGAAGUGAUUAUUCCAUUGGUAAUUCUGCACCCAGACAAGCUUGAUAUAUCUAUUGAGGACAUAUGUAAAGUAAAAAAAAAAAAAAAGUUCUCAUAUAGUCCUCAAAAAUGCUAAUUGAAAUAAAUUUGUACUUUCCUUGGGCUGGAUUUAUAUUAGAACAUUUAAUUUCAAUUAAACAGACAACCUUUAAGUCAUGAGAUAGCUGAAUAGAACCCUCCAGCAAUUAUUCCCAAACAGGAGCACCAAAUUGAAAAACUACUCAAGCAAAAAAGCACCUUCAUAAAAGCCAAAAUCAGGUGAACGAUCACAGUACCUGAUUCUGACAUCAUAUCAAGGAAAGAGGCACCGAUGGGGUUAGGAAAGGCAGGCCUGCCCUGUAUACAGCACUUCUCCCUUACCCUCCAGCAGCAGCAAGUGGAGGGAGAAUCUGUGUGCCUGGGGGAGGGAGAACAGAGUGACUGUGGAACUUUGCAUUGGAACUCAGGGCUGCCUUGUCACAACGGAACACAACACAAGCCAGUGCUCACUUAGCUGAAUUCUGAAGGAAACACCAACCCCAGCCAGAGAGGAACGCUGUGUCCCAGUGGUAGGAGUUUGAGACCCAGCUAGCUCUGCUACCAGCUGACUACAGGGGCCUGGGGCCCAGGAUAAAUUUAAAAGGCAAUCAGGGCCGGGCGCAGCGGCUCACGCCUGUAAUCCCAGCACUUUGGGAGGCCGAGGCGGGCGGAUCACGAGGUCAGGAGAUCAAGACCAUCCUGGCUAACACGGUGAAACCCCGUCUCUACUAAAAAUACAAAAAAUUAGCCGGGCUUGGUGGCGGGCGCCUGUAGUCCCAGCUACUCAGGAGGCUGAGGCAGGAGAAUGGUGUGAACCCGGGAGGCGGAGCUGGCAGUGAGCUGAGAUCGCGCCCCUGCACUCAGGCCUGGGCAACAGAGAGAGGCUCCAUCUCAAAAAAAAAAAAAAAAAAAAGGCAAUCAGGCCACAAGGGUUUCACAAGGACAUUCCUGGUGCUGUGCUGAGCUUGAAGCCACUAGGCUUGAUUUACCUACAACCCAGUGAAACACCAGCUGUGGUGGCUAAGGGAUUGUUUGUGUCAACCUCUCCCCCAACUCCAGGCAGCGCAGCUUUCAGCUCCAGGAAAAACUUUUUCCACUUGCAGAAAGGAGAGGGAGGAAUACAGAGGACUUUGUCUUGCAACUUGGGUGCCAGCUCAGUCACAGUAAAAUAAACCACAAAGCAGAUUCUUAAAGCCUCUGAUUCUAGGGCCCGGCUCCUGGACAGCAUUUCUAAACCUGCUUGGGCCAGAAGGGAACCUGCUACUCUCAAGAUGUUACUACAAACAUUCAAACUGAUACCUACUGAGAAGCACUCUAGGCUAAGUGGUUUGGAAAUUCUGCAUCCCCCAGAAUGCUUCAAUGCUUCUGAUGAAAGCCCUGAUAUAUGGGAUUCCUGUUGUGAGAUCCUAGGUGAAUAAUCCUAACUGCAGGACUAAUAUUGGACAUACUCAGAGACAGACUUCAUAAGGCCACC